UGCAAGUCGUGCGAGAAGUCGACUUCGGUCGAUGAGUAGAGCGGCGAACGGGUGAGUAACACGUGGAUAACCUGCCUAGGAGCGGGGGAUAACCUGGGGAAACUCGGGCUAAUACCGCAUACGUUCUCAGCGUCAUGGCGCUGAGGGGAAAGCUGGCCAAUUCUUGAAAGCUAGCACUCCUAGAGGGGUCCGCGCUCGAUUAGCUUGUUGGUGGGGUAAUGGCCUACCAAGGCUGCGAUCGAUAGCCGGCCUGAGAGGGCGAUCGGCCACACUGGGACUGAGACACGGCCCAGACUCCUACGGGAGGCAGCAGUGGGGAAUAUUGGACAAUGGGCGCAAGCCUGAUCCAGCAACGCCGCGUGGAGGACGAAGGCCUUCGGGUCGUAAACUCCUGUCAGUUGGGACGAAAAGCCGUCGAUUAAUAGUCGGCGGUCCUGACGGUACCAGCAGAGGAAGCCCCGGCUAACUCCGUGCCAGCAGCCGCGGUAAUACG
rnacentral:rRNA from 1 species